rnacentral:tRNA from 1 species
GGAGGGAUCGCAUAGUGGCCGAGUGCGGACGUCUCGAACACGUCUAGGUGAUGAGCCUCGUGGGUUCGAAUCCCACUCCCUCCG